rnacentral:rRNA from 1 species
UACAGAGGGGGCAAGCGUUAUUCGGAAUUAUUGGGCGUAAAGGGCGCGUAGGCGGGCUGCCAAGUCUGGGGUGAAAUCCCACGGCUCAACCGUGGAACUGCCUCGGAUACUGGCGGCCUCGAGGGAGGUAGGGGCAUGCGGAACUGUGGGUGGAGCGGUGAAAUGCGUUGAUAUCCACAGGAACUCCGGUGGCGAAAGCGGCGUGCUGGACCUCUUCUGACGCUGAGGCGCGAAAGCUAGGGGAGCAAACGGG